ensembl:lncRNA
AAAACAAGAACAACACAGGGCACCAAUCUCAGACUGAUUAUUUAACCUUAGUUUUACACCUUUGUCUCACCAGCGACAUCAAAGUUGACAUUCAUCCAUCCAUCCAUCCAUCAUCUAUACACUGCUUUGUCCUCAUCAGGGUCAUGGGGGGCUGGAGUCUAUCCCAACUGACUGAGGGUGAAGGCAGGGGACACCUGGACAGAUAGCGGCACAGCGUCACUGUAACUAUGACAACAAGUGAACACUACGUCAGCUGCCUGCUGAUGAUCACAUGAUUUUGAUC